rnacentral:rRNA from 1 species
GUGGGGAAUUUUGGACAAUGGGCGCAAGCCUGAUCCAGCAAUGCCGCGUGCAGGAAGAAGGCCUUCGGGUUGUAAACUGCUUUUGUACGGAACGAAACGGUCCGGGUUAAUACCCUGGGCUAAUGACGGUACCGUAAGAAUAAGCACCGGCUAACUACGUGCCAGCAGCCGCGGUAAUACGUAGGGUGCAAGCGUUAAUCGUAAUUACUGGGCGAAAAGCGUGCGCAGGCGGUUUUGUAAGACAGGCGUGAAAUCCCCGGGCUCAACCUGGGAAUUGCGCUUGUGACUGCAAGGCUUGAGUGCGGCAGAGGGGGAUGGAAUUCCGAGUGUAGCAGUGAAAUGCGUAGAUAUGCGGAGGAACACCGAUGGCGAAGGCAAUCCCCUGGGCCUGCACUGACGCUCAUGCACGAAAGCGUGGGGAGCAAACAGGAUUAGAAACCCGUGUAGUCC